CGCCAACCAGCUAGCCCCCCCCCCCAAAACCAACAACCCCUAUUAAUAACCCCUAAAUACACAACCCACCCCCCCCCCAACAAAUCAUUUUUCCCCCUUAGUACGGGCGACAGAAAA
rnacentral:rRNA from 1 species